GUCAGACAUUUUUUACCUGAGUUCGAAUUCAAGCGAUGCCCCUUAAAAGUUGGACGGCAUUGGGCGAGUCUCUAGAAGCUUCAGUUGCCUCAUCUUUUAAAAUAACAACAGCACCUACCUCCCAGGGUGUUGUGAGGAGUGUAGAGUGGUAGCAUAAUGUGCUAAAAUUCAGCUGCUCUCAGAACUCAUCCUUGUUACAUUGAGCCCUGCUCCACCUCAAAGUGUCCCUUAGUGCCUCGAGCAGAGUAAAUGGUCCCACUCUUCACAGGCUCCUCUGAACUGGUUCUGUGUGGUUGAGAUCCUAUCAACUGCCAGCUCCCCAAUAAUUGGGAGAUAAGAAUUAUCGUCUGUGGGGGGAAUAGAUGAGGGACGGUGAACUGAGGGUGCGGUAGUGGUCUGAGCUGAAGGCCUUGACAGUGCUGAAAAGGGAGUGACUGAGUUUGGGGCAGGGAUGGGGUGAUUUAAGAAUAAGGAGGAGAUAACCAGGGAAGACUUGACCUUUCUUCAUUUUUAUGCUAUUCUUUUUUUUUUUUCUAUUGACAUUUUGGAACUGAGAAUUACCUUUUACAGGAAUGGCGUCGGCUCUGUCAAGUGAUUUGAGACUAGAGGCAAUUCCUUACUUGAUGCAUUUUGGAAUUGUGUUUGAAAUAUGAACGAUCUGUCCAUUUCCUCCGUUGCUACAUCCUUCAUCUUUCAACAGAAUCAUCAACCACACAUUUCCAGGAUUUUGUUCUGAAUAAUGAAUACAUGUUCUUUUAAUGUAAUUGAAUACAUAGUUAAGUAUUGGAUUGGAGUCAAAAAGUUGUCUUAAAAAAAAAACAACUGUCUUUUUUAGCCCUCCAAAUGAGUUCUACCUUUGUUUCAAGAUUAUUGGUCUUUGUUUCAAUGUUACUACAAUCAUCUGGUAGUGCCUUUAAAAAAAAAAAUGCCUUUUGUUGAUGGGGAUUAAGGAAUGUACUUGUCAAGAUGAUUAAAAUGAAAACCUAAGGGCACCUGGCUUGUUCAGUGACUAGAGCAGAUGACUCUUGAUCUCAGGGUCAUGACUUUGAGCCCCACAUGGG